CAAAAAAUAGUUUAAAUAAAAAGAUAGAAUGUUAAUUUUGGAGAUUAAUGGUAAUAAUGAAAUAUUUUUUUUGA
rnacentral:tRNA from 1 species